GCCUUAGCUCAGUGGUAGAGCAUCUGUCUUGCAAGCAGAAGGCCCCAGCAUCUUGAGGUAGGGUUGGGAGAGACU